rnacentral:rRNA from 1 species
AGAGUUUGAUCCUGGCUCAGGAUGAACGCUAGCUACAGGCUUAACACAUGCAAGUCGAGGGGAAACGAUAUUGGAAGCUUGCUUCCGAUAGGCGUCGACCGGCGCACGGGUGAGUAACGCGUAUCCAACCUGCCCAUCACUUGGGGAUAACCUUGCGAAAGUAAGACUAAUACCCAAUGACGUCUCUAGAAGACAUCUGAAGGAGAUUAAAGAUUUAUCGGUGAUGGAUGGGGAUGCGUCUGAUUAGCUUGUUGGCGGGGUAACGGCCCACCAAGGCAACGAUCAGUAGGGGUUCUGAGAGGAAGGUCCCCCACAUUGGAACUGAGACACGGUCCAAACUCCUACGGGAGGCAGCAGUGAGGAAUAUUGGUCAAUGGGCGAGAGCCUGAACCAGCCAAGUAGCGUGCAGGAAGACGGCCCUAUGGGUUGUAAACUGCUUUUAUAAGGGAAUAAAGUGAGUCUCGUCAGACUUUUUGCAUGUACCUUAUGAAUAAGGACCGGCUAAUUCCGUGCCAGCAGCCGCGGUAAUACGGAAGGUCCGGGCGUUAUCCGGAUUUAUUGGGUUUAAAGGGAGCGUAGGCCGGAGAUUAAGCGUGUUGUGAAAUGUAGACGCUCAACGUCUGCACUGCAGCGCGAACUGGUUUCCUUGAGUACGCACAAAGUGGGCGGAAUUCGUGGUGUAGCGGUGAAAUGCUUAGAUAUCACGAAGAACUCCGAUUGCGAAGGCAGCUCACUGGAGCGCAACUGACGCUGAAGCUCGAAAGUGCGGGUAUCGAACAGGAUUAGAUACCCUGGUAGUCCGCACGGUAAACGAUGGAUGCCCGCUGUUGGUCUGAACAGGUCAGCGGCCAAGCGAAAGCAUUAAGCAUCCCACCUGGGGAGUACGCCGGCAACGGUGAAACUCAAAGGAAUUGACGGGGGCCCGCACAAGCGGAGGAACAUGUGGUUUAAUUCGAUGAUACGCGAGGAACCUUACCCGGGCUUGAAUUGCAGAGGAAGGAUUUGGAGACAAUGACGCCCUUCGGGGUCUCUGUGAAGGUGCUGCAUGGUUGUCGUCAGCUCGUGCCGUGAGGUGUCGGCUUAAGUGCCAUAACGAGCGCAACCCCUCUCCUUAGUUGCCAUCAGGUUAAGCUGGGCACUCUGGGGACACUGCCACCGUAAGGUGUGAGGAAGGUGGGGAUGACGUCAAAUCAGCACGGCCCUUACGUCCGGGGCUACACACGUGUUACAAU